rnacentral:lncRNA from 1 species
UAUGAUCGAUGAUGUAAGCGAUGAUGUCAUAAAUUAUGGCAAAAAGACUAUUUUACCCUUACUCUACCAAGCUUAUAAAUAGAAGCUCAUUCCUUCAUUAUUCUUCACGAAUUCCCUAAAGCUAUAGAGCGAGAAAGAAUAGAGAAAAUAAGAGAGAAAGAAGAAGAAUCUUCUGUUACUACAAUAUUGCGGUAUCCAAUUUCCUACUAAGGUAAGGGAUAUUAUUUGUUGUACUUGUAAGGGGUAUUAUUUUUUUUUCAUAUUCAUGAAGAGAACUUCUGUUAUUCCAUUCUUUAUUAUUCUUUUGGAAUGAGAG